CGUGGGCAACCUGCCUAUAAGACUGGGAUAACUUCGGGAAACCGGAGCUAAUACCGGAUACGUUCUUUUCUCGCAUGAGAGAAGAUGGAAAGACGGUUUACGCUGUCACUUAUAGAUGGGCCCGCGGCGCAUUAGCUAGUUGGUGAGGUAAUGGCUCACCAAGGCGACGAUGCGUAGCCGACCUGAGAGGGUGAUCGGCCACACUGGGACUGAGACACGGCCCAGACUCCUACGGGAGGCAGCAGUAGGGAAUCUUCCGCAAUGGACGAAAGUCUGACGGAGCAACGCCGCGUGAACGAAGAAGGCCUUCGGGUCGUAAAGUUCUGUUGUUAGGGAAGAACAAGUACCAGAGUAACUGCUGGUACCUUGACGGUACCUAACCAGAAAGCCACGGCUAACUACGUGCCAGCAGCCGCGGUAAUACGUAGGUGGCAAGCGUUGUCCGGAAUUAUUGGGCGUAAAGCGCGCGCAGGUGGUUCCUUAAGUCUGAUGUGAAAGCCCACGGCUCAACCGUGGAGGGUCAUUGGAAACUGGGGAACUUGAGUGCAGAAGAGGAAAGUGGAAUUCCAAGUGUAGCGGUGAAAUGCGUAGAGAUUUGGAGGAACACCAGUGGCGAAGGCGACUUUCUGGUCUGUAACUGACACUGAGGCGC
rnacentral:rRNA from 1 species